rnacentral:rRNA from 1 species
GAACGCGAAGAACCUUACCUGGUCUUGACAUGUACGGAAUCCUCCAGAGACGGAGGAGUGCCUUCGGGAGCCGUAACACAGGUGCUGCAUGGCUGUCGUCAGCUCGUGUCGUGAGAUGUUGGGUUAAGUCCCGCAACGAGCGCAACCCUUGUCAUUGGUUGCCAUCAUUUAGUUGGGCACUCUAAUGAGACUGCCGGUGACAAGCCGGAGGAAGGUGGGGAUGACGUCAAGUCCUCAUGGCCCUUAUGACCAGGGCUUCACACGUCAUACAAUGGUCGGUACAGAGGGUAGCCAAGCCGCGAGGUGGAGCCAAUCUCAUAAAACCGAUCGUAGUCCGGAUUGCACUCUGCAACUCGAGUGCAUGAAGUCGGAAUCGCUAGUAAUCGCAGGUCAGCAUACUGCGGUGAAUACGUUCCCGGGUCUUGUACACACC